CUGGAGGUGACGCCUGCCCUUUUCCACCCUUCGCCAGUCCACUGUGAAAAGCUGGGUUGAUUGUGCAGGUUAGAUAGAGGUCAUCAGCCAGGUUGAUUGUGUGGGUUAGAUAGAGAUCAUCAGCCUGGUGGAUUGUGUGGGUUAGAUAGAGAUCAUCAGCUGGGUUGAUUGUGCGGGUUAGAUAGAGGUCAUCAGCUUGGUUGAUUGUGCGGGUUAGAUAGAGAUCAUCAGCCUGGUUGAUUCUACAGGUUAGAUAGAGAUCAUCAGCUGGGUUUAUUGUGUGGGUUAGAUAGAGAUCAUCAGCUUGGUUGAUUGUGCGGGUUAGAUAGAGGUCGUCAGCCGGGUUGAUUGUGCGGGUUAGAUAGAGAUCAUCAGCCGGGUUGAUUGUGUGGGUUAGAUAGAGAUCAUCAGCCGGGUUGAUUGUGUGGGUUAGAUAGAGAUCAUCAGCCGGGUUGAUUGUGCGGGUUAGAUAGAGAUCAUCAGCCGGGUUGAUUGUGCGGGUUAGAUAGAGAUCAUCAGCCGGGUUGAUUGUGUGGGUUAGAUAGAGAUCAUCAGCCGGGUUGAUUGUGUGGGUUAGAUAGAGGUCAUCAGCCGGGUUGAUUGUGUGGGUUAGAUAGAGAUCAUCAGCCGGGUUGAUUGUGUGGGUUAGAUAGAGAUCAUCAGCCGGGUUGAUUGUGUGGGUUAGAUAGAGGUCAUCAGCAGGGUUGAUUGUGUGGGUUAGAUAGAGGUCAUCAGCCGGGUUGAUUGUGUGGGUUAGAUAGAGGUCAUCAGCUGGGUUGAUUGUGCGGGUUA
rnacentral:lncRNA from 1 species